AACGAACGCUGGCGGCAGGCUUAACACAUGCAAGUCGAACGCUCGUAGCAAUACGGGAGUGGCAGACGGGUGAGUAACGCGUGGGAACUUACCCUCCGGUUCGGAAUAGCUCAGGGAAACUUGGAUUAAUACCGGAUACGGCCGCGAGGCGAAAGAUUUAUCGCCGGAGGAUUGGCCCGCGUUCGAUUAGCUAGUUGGUG
rnacentral:rRNA from 1 species